AUUGAACGCUGGCGGCAGGCCUAACACAUGCAAGUCGAGCGGAUGAAGGGAGCUUGCUCCUGGAUUCAGCGGCGGACGGGUGAGUAAUGCCUAGGAAUCUGCCUGGUAGUGGGGGAUAACGUCCGGAAACGGGCGCUAAUACCGCAUACGUCCUGAGGGAGAAAGUGGGGGAUCUUCGGACCGCACGCUAUCAGAUGAGCCUAGGUCGGAUUAGCUAGUUGGUGGGGUAAAGGCCUACCAAGGCGACGAUCCGUAACUGGUCUGAGAGGAUGAUCAGUCACACUGGAACUGAGACACGGUCCAGACUCCUACGGGAGGCAGCAGUGGGGAAUAUUGGACAAUGGGCGAAAGCCUGAUCCAGCCAUGCCGCGUGUGUGAAGAAGGUCUUCGGAUUGUAAAGCACUUUAAGUUGGGAGGAAGGGCAGUAAGUUAAUACCUUGCUGUUUUGACGUUACCAACAGAAUAAGCACCGGCUAACUUCGUG
rnacentral:rRNA from 1 species